rnacentral:rRNA from 1 species
UACGGAGGGUGCGAGCGUUAUUCGGAAUUACUGGGCGUAAAGCGCGUGCAGGCGGGGGGACAAGUCUGAUGUGAAAGCCCUGGGCUUAACCUGGGAAGAGCAUUGGAAACUGUUUGUCUUGAGUACUGGAGAGGAGGGGAGAAUUCCCGGUGUAGAGGUGAAAUGCGUAGAGAUCGGGAGGAAUACCAGUGGCGUAGGCGGCCUUCUGGACGGUUACUGACGCUGAGAUGCGAAAGCGUGGGGAGCAAACAGG